rnacentral:rRNA from 1 species
AUGGAGGACGGCAGGGGCUCGCGGAAGGAGAAGGGGAAGGAAACUGCGGAGGACCUGCUAGCACGUCUCACCCUGCAAGAGGAAGAAGAGGAUGACUUUGUGUGGGAGGAGGAGCUCCCCGAUCUGAUGGAGCCAGCCAAGUGGCUGGCAAUCACGAGGGUUCACACCCCAAAAACAUUCAGCCCCAAUGCUUUGUACGGUGAUAUGAGGGCAGCCUGGAAUCCAGCAAAACCGGUGGUGUGGAGGAGGAUAAAGGAGAACUUGUUUACGACGCAGUUCGGCUGUCUCGCGGAUUGGAAAAAAGCCAUGCUUGAUGGCCCAUGGCUGUUCAGGGAUCAGGCUGUGAUUCUGGAGGAGUACGAUGGUUUCAAAAACCCUGAUUCCUUCAAACUCGAUAAGAUGGAGGUUUGGGCUCAGAUACAUCGUUUGCCUGACAAUUUCCUCAUCGAGCGGGCGGUGAAGGGGCUAGCAUCUCGGAUUGGAGAGGUGAAGGAGGUGCAGUCGAAGCUGCAGCGGGUUUCUUUGGAGAGUUUGUGA